UCAGGAUGAACGCUAGCGACAGGCUUAACACAUGCAAGUCGAGGGGCAGCACGGGAGUAGCAAUACAACUGGUGGCGACCGGCGCACGGGUGAGUAACGCGUAUGCAACCUACCUAUCAGAGGGGAAUAACCCGGCGAAAGUCGGACUAAUACCGCAUAAAACAGGGGCACCGCAUGGUGAUAUUUGUUAAAGAAAUUCGCUGAUAGAUGGGCAUGCGUUCCAUUAGGUAGUUGGUGAGGUAACGGCUCACCAAGCCGACGAUGGAUAGGGGAACUGAGAGGUUGGUCCCCCACACUGGUACUGAGACACGGACCAGACUCCUACGGGAGGCAGCAGUGAGGAAUAUUGGUCAAUGGGCGAGAGCCUGAACCAGCCAAGUCGCGUGAAGGAAGAAGGAUCUAUGGUUCGUAAACUUCUUUUGCAGGGGAAUAAAGUGCGGGACGUGUCCUGUUUUGUAUGUACCCUGAGAAUAAGGAUCGGCUAACUCCGUGCCAGCCGCAGC
rnacentral:rRNA from 1 species